CAGCCGCGGUAAUUCCAGCUCCAAUAGCGUAUAUUAAAGUUGUUGCAGUUAAAAAGCUCGUAGUUGAAUUUCGGGGUUAGUAGGUUGGUCAUGCCUCCGGUAUGUACUGAUCUCACUGAUUCCUCCUUCUUUAUGAACCGUAAUGCCAUUAAUUUGGUGUUGCGGGGAAUUUGGACUGUUACUUUGAAAAAAAUUAGAGUGUUUAAAGCAGGCUAACGCUUGAAUACAUUAGCAUGGAAUAAUGAAAUAGGACGUUCGAUCUUAUUUUGUUGGUUUCUAGGAUUGACGUAAUGAUUAAUAGGGAUAGUUGGGGGGCAUUAGUAUUCAAUUGUCAGAGGUGAAAUUCUUGGAUUUAUUGAAGACUAACUACUGCGAAAGCAUUUUGCCAAGGAUGUUUUCAUUAAUCAAGAACGAAAGUUAGGGAUCGAAGACGAUCAGAUACCGUCGUAGUCUUAACCAUAAACUAUGCCGACUAGGGAUCGGAUGAUGUUAAUUUUAUAAUGACUCAUUCGGCGCCUUACGGGAAAC
rnacentral:rRNA from 1 species